GUGAAUCAUCGAAUUUUUGAACGCAAAUUGCACUCUCUUCGGAGAGUAUGCCUGUUUGAGGGUCAGCCUAAAAAAAAAAUUGACAUAGUCGCUGUUUUGCGGUGAUCUUCGUCGGAAAUUGGGUCAUUUUAAAUUUUUUGGUUUUAAGGGGCUUAAAAUUUUUUUUUCGAUUUUAUGAACGUUUUUAAGAUUUUAUUUUUAUACGUUUUAGGGAUCGAUCUUUAUUAGAAGA
rnacentral:misc_RNA from 1 species